ACUCCUACGGGAGGCAGCAGUGGGGAAUAUUGGACAAUGGGCGCAAGCCUGAUCCAGCCAUGCCGCGUGAGUGAUGAAGGCCCUAGGGUUGUAAAGCUCUUUCAGCGAGGAGGAUAAUGACGUUACUCGCAGAAGAAGCCCCGGCUAACUUCGUGCCAGCAGCCGCGGUAAUACGAAGGGGCUAGCGUUGUUCGGAAUCACUGGGCGUAAAGCGCACGUAGGCGGACUUUUAAGUCAGGGGUGAAAUCCCGGGGCUCAACCCCGGAACUGCCUUUGAUACUGGAAGUCUUGAGUCCGAGAGAGGUGAGUGGAACUCCGAGUGUAGAGGUGAAAUUCGUAGAUAUUCGGAAGAACACCAGUGGCGAAGGCGGCUCACUGGCUCGGUACUGACGCUGAGGUGCGAAAGCGUGGGAGCAAACAGGAUUAGAUACCCUGGUAGGACAGUG
rnacentral:rRNA from 1 species